rnacentral:rRNA from 1 species
UCCAGACUCCUACGGGAGGCAGCAGUGGGGGAUAUUGCACAAUGGGGGGAACCCUGAUGCAGCGACGCCGCGUGGGUGAAGGAGCGUUUCGGCGCGUAAAGCCCUAUCGGCAGGGAAGAAGGAGGACGGUACCUGACUAAGAAGCCCCGGCUAACUACGUGCCAGCAGCCGCGGUAAUACGUAGGGGGCAAGCGUUAUCCGGAUUUACUGGGUGUAAAGGGGGCGCAGACGGCAGCGCAAGCCAGGAGUGAAAGCCCGGGGCCCAACCCCGGGACUGCUCUUGGAACUGCGCGGCUGGAGUGCAGGAGGGGCAGGCGGAAUUCCUGGUGUAGCGGUGAAAUGCGUAGAAAUCAGGAGGAACACCGGUGGCGAAGGCGGCCUGCUGGACUGCGACUGACGUUGAGGCCCGAAAGCGUGGGGAGCAAACAGGAUUAGAUACCCCUGUAC